rnacentral:lncRNA from 1 species
AUCAAUAAACUUUCACAACCACUUAGCUUCCUUCACAGCAUUGGAUAUUGCGAUAUACUCUGCUUCGCAAACUAAGUCAGCCAAGUGUGCUGCUUAAAAUUUUUUCAGUAGAUCGCUCCAUCAUUCAAGAUGAAGAUGUAUCUUGAUACGCUCUUGCUAUCAUCAUGAUCUGACUGAAAGCUGAAAUCUGUAAAUUCUACAAGUUUCAAGUCAGAUUUUCUAUAAAUGAGCCACUGAUCUUUAGUAUUUCUCAAAUUAUUAAAGAUGAUUUUUAUGACCUUCUAAUAGUUCUCAUCCGA